AUUGAACGCUGGCGGCAGGCCUAACACAUGCAAGUCGAGCGGUAGAGAGAAGCUUGCUUCUCUUGAGAGCGGCGGACGGGUGAGUAAUGCCUAGGAAUCUGCCUGAUAGUGGGGGAUAACGUCCGGAAACGGACGCUAAUACCGCAUACGUCCUACGGGAGAAAGUGGGGGCUCUUCGGACCUCACGCUAUCAGAUGAGCCUAGGUCGGAUUGGCUAGUUGGUGGGGUAAAGGCUCACCAAGGCGACGAUCCGUAACUGGUCUGAGAGGAUGAGCAGUCACACUGGAACUGAGACACGGUCCAGACUCCUACGGGAGGCAGCAGUGGGGAAUAUUGGACAAUGGGCGAAAGCCUGAUCCAGCCAUGCCGCGUGUGUGAAGAAGGUCUUCGGAUUGUAAAGCACUUUAAGUUGGGAGGAAGGGUCGUUACCUAAUACGUGGCGAUUUUGACGUUACCGACAGAAUAAGCACCGGCUAACUCUGUGCCAGCAGCCGCCGCAGUA
rnacentral:rRNA from 1 species